AUCGUGGGAUUUGCAUGGGACCGGGAACACAACAAGGAUCGACGGCGGGUUUUGGGAGAAGGAUUAGUGAUCAUCUAACUUAUAAGAGGUUCCACGGGCGGCGGGGCGGCCUAAUGGUAGAACUUAGAAGCAGAUAUGGAAAAUUUCCUGCGAACAAUUUUAUCCAAUGAUACUGGCUAGCUUCACAUCUUAGGUGGAUGCUAUAUAUACACGCAUAAAGAAAAAAAAAACACAUAUUUCUCUUCUGGCGUUACAAGGUUACAUCAUGCAUCAAUCCUGUCCAUUU
rnacentral:lncRNA from 1 species